rnacentral:lncRNA from 1 species
CCGUUACGUGGGACGUCACGUGACCCUUCUGCGACGAGCUUAAGGAAGGAAGCCGCAGGAGGAGGCUCUCAGAGCAGAGAGAAAGAAAAGUUGUGUCAAGCAGGGAGCAGCCGAGGUUUCACUACAGCCUGGAGUGCCGCUGUGACAACCAUUUUGAACAGCUACACAGCUUUUCCCAUCUCUCCUGCUACAGCUAUGGCUCCACAGUGUAUGGAUAUGGGCCCAGUCCUCUAUGUGAGUCUGAGAAUCCUGAACCGAUAGCUGGACUAGAGCUAUACAUAAUGAGGAAAGCAUCUAAAGCUGUAGACGCCACGCACCCUACUGUGGGAAGCCACAUGUGCCGUUGCUGAGUGGCACUGACUACUGCUGGCCACCACGCAUAAGAUUGGACAAACAACCAAUGUGUACAUAUGCAGUAAAGUUUUUUGCAAAGACACUGCCUGGCCCAGGCAUGAUAAUGAGGUUCUGUAAGGUACUGAGAGUAUAACCAAUCAGAUGUGAGACAUGCAAAUGAGGUAUGAUAAUGAGGUUCUGUAAGGUACUGAGAGAGAGUAGCCAAUCAGAUGAGGAACAUGCAAAUGAGGCUUAGUGCAUAACCAAUCCGGGUGUGAGACACGCCCCUCCUAGGCCUAUAAAAGCAGCACCAGUUCUGGGCUCGAAGUCUUUUCGCCUCUACAAUCAAGCUCUCCCAAUAAACGUGUGCAGAAGGAUCCUGUUGCA